GCUCUUGUGGUGUAAUUGGAUAGCAUAUAGGUCUUCGAAACCUAUGGUUAGAGUUCGAGUCUCUGCAGGAGCGCAA
rnacentral:tRNA from 2 species